rnacentral:lncRNA from 1 species
CUGGAGUUAGUUAGAAUUUGUUGAGAAGCUGUUGAAUAAUUCACGUCAUUUGUCUAUUUAUACACAGCAAAAUGUAAUGUACAUUCAACUUUUUGGAACACAAUUAAGUUCUUCUUCCUUCUUCAUUUUUGUUUAAUAUCAUGUUUUUUCCACUAAGAAACCAGGCAGCAAUGAAGACAUACUAAUAGCUGAGGUCAAAGGUAUCAGUACUUUCGACAAAUGUACGCGAGCUACACUUCAGUGGCGGGUUUUUGCAGCUCAAUUAUACGGUCCGAAUAAGUGUGAAGAAGAGUGAAGAUCAAUUUUUUAGGGGCUUUGAGGAACCUAAGAAAAUCACACUUUGGCUGAGACCGAACAGCAACCCGACGACAACAUUUUGGUUUAUUUUGUGAUAGUAGAUGUAUUUUGAACUAUUUGUUUCACUUCACUUCUUCAGUUGUGUUAUAAAGAUCACUUCAGGCUGCUACUAAAUGCAUUUUAUACCUUCGGGAAAUGGAACUUCAGUGAGAAAUGCAAAUAAUUAAAUUACAAUAAGCAAUUGACAUUGAUAACCUUGAGUAGCAGGUUUUUUAUGUUUGAAGAUGACACAGGCUUUGACACAUAUAAUUACAUUACAUUACAUCAAAUUGCUCACCUUGUGCCUCAACCAUUACUGCCAUGUCGAGAAACAUCUGGUGAAGCUCCAGUAGACUCUUCUCUAUUUCCUUGGUCGCGUCAUAAUGGUCUUGGAUCUCCACCCCCAUUUCUACUUUCUAGCACCUUCCCCUGCCGUGCUCCUAGAGACAUUAUAGUCACUACAUCAAGAAAGUUAAUAUAAAUGUCGGCAAUUAGUCUAAAAUUGAGAUCGAAAGUUCGAAAAUUGAGGAAAUUAUUUAGGAAAGAUCAAGUUGGAGAGAUUAUCUAUGACAAAAAUGUAGAGCUAAAUACCUGUAUUGCUUUAGACAGAAAUUUCUCGCCACUGCGGUCUGCUAUGGCUCCACGUUCGAUGAACCGGAGAUGGAAGGAAACAGGGAUUUUGAGCUUUUGAUUUCUGAGGUUUCAAUUGUCGGAGACACAAUUUUUUUCUUUACCCAUUUCUCCCACUUCUACUCGGAUGUCGACCUGUUUGGUUGGUCUGCUAUGGCGACACAUUCGGUGAACGUGCGGCAUGAUGACAGAGAUGAAGGGCUUGGAUUUGGAUUUUGGGUCUCCUUCCAGUUCGACUUUGGGAGGGAGAAGCUGAAAUACAGGGUUUACAUUUAUCAAACCUUUUUUUUUUUUUUUUUUUCCUUAUGCCAUGUCACAUUUUCAAAUGCCUGUUUUCGACCCUGUAUUUCAGCCUGUCCCUGUAGCCCCAUUGAUAAACUUUUAUCAUUGAAAAAAUAAUAGAAUAACUGUAUUUCUGGAUGAAAGUUCAAAAUGAAGAUCGACAGCAAUUUUUUCUUUAAAAGAAACAUGGGCAGGAUCAUGCUUUCAGAGUCCAUCUUCAGUAGUGUGUCGGUAUCAAUAGAAAAUAAAAAUUCAUGGGCCAUAUAUUAAAUCUGGUAGGUACUUAGAGGUUAGGUUCAACUCCUCUCAAGUAUGUACUUUUAUUUUUCGUGAUUAAUACGUAUAAUGAUUUAAAAAAAGAAAAAAAAAAAUCACGCUAUUGAACAGUGAAGUUGGCUGUAGUUGUUGUGCACUCUCAUUGAACUAUCUUGUCCUAAAGUUUAACUAUUAAAAUGAGUAUAUGUUUGUUUAAAUCUUGUUUUUAACACAUCCUUGUGACAUCAUUUUUCAGUCAUAGGCAUUAUACAUGCACAUUUUCUUAAAACUGGACUUUGCUUGCUCUCGUUGAAAGGAAAAAAAAUAUUUAUUUAAAUAAUUAAAUCUUACCUCGAGCCACGUCUAAAUAUAUAUAUAUAUAUCUCACUUUGUGGCCAGUUUUUUAUGCAGUGAGUGAUUAGCUUGCAAUUUGACAUGGCAGUUGGGCUGGAUAUUCAAAGUGAUGGCAGGGAAUAUGCUGGCAAGAUUACAGGAUUUCUGGUUUUAUCUUGCAUGAUUGCUGCUACUGGAGGAAUAAUCUAUGGUUAUGACCUUGGAAUUUCAGGUUUUUUAUCUACUUGUUUCUUGUCUACCAUUGAUGAACUGAUUGAAUUAAAUACUGAAUGAAAAUAAUUUGAAGUGUUUGAUUAAAUUCUAUAUGCUCGUGUGAAGGUGGGUUGACCUCAAUGGAAUCAUUUCUGAAGGAAUUCUUUCCACAAGUAUACGACAAAAUGAAGGAAGAUACGAAGAUAAGCAACUAUUGCAAAUUUGAUAGCCAACUGUUGACACUUUUCACUUCCUCUCUCUAUAUAGCUGGUCUUAUUGCCUCUUUCUUUGCUUCGCCGGUCACUAGGACCUUUGGUCGGAAGAUAUCAAUCUUGAUUGGUGGAACGGCAUUGAUAGCCGGUGCUACCCUUGGUGGAGCGUCUUAUAAUAUUUACAUGCUAUUGCUUGGUCGUGUUUUGCUCGGUAUUGGUCUGGGUUAUACAAAUCAGGUAAUUAGACAGUGUUGUGUUGUGUUGUGUUGUGUUGUGUGACAUUUUAGCAAUCUAGUAAUCUUAGUGACUAGUAUUAUGUUGAGUGCGUUAUUUAAACACGAGUCCUUGUCUAUCACCUUCAACAUUUAUAUCAAGUGGUUCAAAUUAUAUUAGAGCAGGUAAAGCCAUAAAGGUUCCGGGCUCUAGUCACGCUGCCACCCGUAUAUAAAGAAAUUGUGCCCGUUGGAAGGCUUUAAUUGGAAAAUAAUGAACUCUGCCCUCAUGUUAAGGGAUACUCGACCCUCUUUAAUCACUUAUUCGUUCUUCUGUUUCCUUUGGCCUAAACAAUAUACCAUAAAUGGAGAAGAAAUGGGAACAAAGCGUCUAAGCAGGAAAUAGUAUUAGGGAAUUCGUUGAAACCAGAAACAGGUUUACUCAGAAAAGAAGUACAAACCAGAAGGGCUAAUCCGACCUAAUCGUACCAUGUGAGCCUUCAAAAAAGUGUUCUAGGUGAAAAAAAAUACUCUCUAGCUAGAAAUGCUGAUAGCAAAUAGUAUUGUAAAAAUGCAGUGGUUCCCUUUUGAUGCUCAAACAGAAAUAUAUAAAUCUAAAGAAACUUUUUCGAGAAUCUUAUAUUUAGAAUUUCAAUAAAUUUACUAUAGAGUAAAAGACAAAAACAAUUGUUUCACCUGGUUUAUGAAACUAAAUAUUAAUCUCACAUCUAUUAUCUGCAGGCAAUUCCAUUAUACCUCUCAGAAAUGGCACUCUCCAAAUACAGAGGAGCUUUCAACACUGGUUUUCAAAUCUGUCUUAACAUUGGUUUUAUACUAGCCACAUUCAUAAACUAUUGUGCUGUUAAAAUCGGAGGAGGUUGGGGUUGGCGAAUUUCAUUAGCAAUGGCUGCAGCCCCUGCUGCAAUUCUGACUAUUGGGGCGUUUUUCCUCCCGGAGACACCAAAUAGCCUAAUUGAGCACGAAAAUGAUCACGAAAAGGCCAAACGAAUGCUGCAAAGAAUCCGAGGUGUUGAUGAUGUCCAAGUAGAACUAGACGAUCUCAUAAAAGCAAGUAAUGCUUCAAAGUCUGUCAAACACCCGUUUAAGAAUCUGUUGCAAAGAAAAUAUAGGCCUCAACUCGUUAUGUCAAUAGCAAUUCCGUUCUUCCUACAAGUGAAUUUAUUUUCAAUGAAACAUGUACCUGCAUCAAAUAAUAUCUAAUAGGUCUCUCCAUAUCUAUCUAUCUCAAUCUAAAGUAAUGGAAAAUGUAGAGAAUAAUAGGCAGAUUAGGGCAAACAAAUUCCUCUAUUUUUGUUCCUUUUAAGACAAAAGAAAUUACCUUGCCUCUGGCUUUGGAUUUGAGCCCAUGAACAACAGUUAAAUCGAGAUGGUCUCUAAAGAUAGUUGAAGAGAAAGCGAUAGCAGCGUUUGGUGUUGAUGGUGAUGAUGGCUAACCCAUCCAUUCAAAUGUCGACUGUUGUUCUUCCCUUUGUGGAUCUUCCGAGAAUUCCAAUUUUGCAGAGCAUUUGGGGGGGAAAUUUUUCUUAGAUUUGAAAGAACGAACCAAAUUGGGUUAGGGAAAUGGCUAUCAACAGUGAUAUACGUAAAGCCAUUGUAGAAAAACCAGUUUGAAUCAAAUACGUGUUGAUUAUCGUCACAAUGAGGGAGGAAAAACAAGGGUUUGCUUUGCGAGAAGAGAAAUAGAGGCAUUGCAAGAAAUCAAAGCAAUAAUCUCCAGAUAUCUUGUGAACAGUUAAACCUGUUCAUGAAAAGUGGAACCAGCUAGGCGUGAAAUGUCGUGUGACAUGAAUGAACAGCACACCCCCAAAGCCUCUCUUUUAAGAGAGAGAAGAGACGUAAAUUUUCAAAAAUGCUACUUGGACAGGUUAAAAUACAGGGUAGAAAACAGGGAUUUGAAAAAUCUGGCGUGACAUAAUGUUUUUGGAGGGAAGCUUUGCACAGUGGACUGGACCGGUUUGGAUUAACCCUCAUUUUUUUAUAAGGAAAAAAUCUCAUUGGAUCCCAGUUCAUCCCACUCAUUUGCAGGGUAGAAAAAAUCUCCCUGUUCAAAAUCCAUAGAAAAAUCAGCCUCAAAUAAAUCUGUUUUCGUUGGUGAAGAAAUCGUUUUGCUCCAAAUUGAAAUCAAGAAGUCCAUUGGUAAACCAUCUUGGGCUUUUCCUUUUAAUCUUCUGGAUUUUGACGUUUGGAUCUUUGCAAGAUUAUUCGUUAAGCUUUGUUAUUUUAAGGAUAAAUGUUUCAGUGCUUUAAUGAUUUCGGAAGUUCGCAAACAAAGAUAAUAGGGAGAAAUUCUGCAGUUUCAUUUCUUUUCACUCUCCAAUGUUUAGAGGAGUAAUUUCUGCUUCUAUUUUGAGAAUUGAUUUUGAGAGCCUGGAAAAUGAGUUACUUCUCAUGUAAUAGAUUUAGCAACUUUGGAUAACUCACCAUCGAAUACAUGUGCAAGAGAUGCAGCUGGAACUUCAGUUAGACAGUUAGAAUAGUUGGAGAUAGUAUGAUCUAGUCCACGGGUCAAUUGUGUAUAGUUAAUACAGCUGGAGUUAGUUAGAAUUUGUUGAGAAGCUGUUGAAUAAUUCACGUCAUUUGUCUAUUUAUACACAGCAAAAUGUAAUGUACAUUCAACUUUUUGGAACACAAUUAAGUUCUUCUUCCUUCUUCAUUUUUGUUUAAUAUCAUGUUUUUUCCACUAAGAAACCAGGCAGCAAUGAAGACAUACUAAUAGCUGAGGUCAAAGGUAUCAGUACUUUCGACAAAUGUACGCGAGCUACACUUCAGUGGCGGGUUUUUGCAGCUCUAUUAUACGGUUCGACUAAGUGUGAAGAAGAGUGAAGAUCAAUUUUUUAGGGGCUUUGAGGAACCAAAGAAAAUCACACUUUGGCUAAGACCGAACAGCAACCCGACGACAACAUUUUGGUUUAUUUUGUGAUAGUAGAUGUAUUUUGAACUAUUUGUUUCACUUCACUUCUUCAGUUGUGUUAUAAAGAUCACUUCAGGCUGCUACUAAAUGCAUUUUAUACCUUCGGGAAAUGGAACUUCAGU